rnacentral:lncRNA from 1 species
UAAGAGCUGACAUAAGAGCUGACACAGGAGCUGACAUAGGAGCUGACACAGGAGCUGACAUAGGAGCUGACACAGGAGCUGACAUAGGAGCUGACACAGGAGCUGACAUAAGAGCUGACACAGGAGCUGACAUAGGAGCUGACAUAGGAGCCGACACGGGAGCUGACAUAGGAGCCGACACAGGAGCUGACAUAGGAGCCGACACAGGAGCUGACAUAGAUGCCGUUAGUAACAAUAUGCAGCUGCAUUCAUCCUUUUUAAAUGUUUUUACAAAAUUUUUUGUCCAAUUUGAGUAUAACAAAAAUGAAUAUAAAAAAGUUCUGAGUAGUUUAAUAAGCUUAUUCGAAAAGGACUUGAUUAUAAUGCUUAAAUUGUUUGUAUGUGAUAGUGGUAGUAGUAGCAGCAACCGUAACAUUUAUAGAACCACAAAUAACAUAAAUUGUAAGGUUGAAUGCUCUAAUGGUAUAAGUUAUAUUAGUCUUAUUAAUUUAUUAAAGUUGAGCAGAAAAGAAAAACUAACACCUAACAUAGCAUUUAACAUUCCACCUUGUGAAUAUAACAAUUCGAAUAAAUUUCAACAUACUUAUGUAUUAUCUAAAUUGUAUAAACAUGAUAACAUUAAUAAAAAUAUAAAAUAUCUUGUUAAUAUUUUAAAUUCUACUUAUAAAAUAAUAAAACAUAUAACUAAUACAUUUCAUAUAAAUGAGUUUAGUCCAAAAUUUAAUAAAACAUUAUUAUAUAAUUUUAUUAAUAAAAUGGUAUAUAGCAAUAACAAUAAUAAUGAUAGUGGUGAUGAUAAGAAAAAGCAUACAAAUGCAGUACCUACAAAAUACGACUUACCACCGUAUAUACAAAAAAUAAAUAAUUAUAUAAAAAAUAUGUGCUUAUUAGAUAAUUAUAAAAACAACGUAAAUGUAAAUAUAAACAAUUUUUUUAUUUGUAAUUAUGUGCUUCAUUUUUUUGUAUGUGAUUUUAUUAAUGAAUACUUUAAACAAAUCGCAAAACGGUUAUAUUGUUAUGAGCAAUCUGGUAUUGCGACUACUGUGACUGACAUUACCAAUAACAUUGGGGAGAAUGAUAGAUACUUUUUUUCGCAAC